rnacentral:misc_RNA from 1 species
GGAAGUAAAAGUCGUACAAGGUCUCCGUUGGUGAACCAGCGGAGGGAUCAUUACAGGAUCGAAAGACUCCUAUAACCCCUGUGAACUUACUACAAAUACGUUGCUUCGGCGGGUGCCCCGGGUCUCCCGGGGCGUUCAGCCCGCCGGCAGCCUUCAAAUUCUGUUUCUUUGCGUUGGCAUCUCGAGUAUACAAAAAUAAGUUAAAACUUUCAACAACGGAUCUCUUGGUUCUG